GUAGGGCUUCGGCCCUGUCGAGAUAGAACCCUUGCCUUUAUGAGUACCGUCCGUUUCCUCGGCAGGUCCGCCUGCCGAUGGACCAAAAAAACAAACCCUUUUAUUACCUGUAUCAGUCUGAAGAACAAAUAAAAAUUAAAACUUUCAACAACGGAUCUCUUGGUUCU
rnacentral:misc_RNA from 1 species